AGAACCUGCCGUAUACUGGGGGAGUAACACUUAGAAAUAGGUGCUAAUAUCGCAUAAGCGCACAGCUUCGCAUGAAGCAGUGUGGAAAACAAAAAGCUAAAGCUUUUGGUGGUAUACGAUGGAUCCGCGUCUGAUUAGCUAGUUGGCGGGGUAAAGGCCCACCAAGGCGACGAUCAGUAGCCGGCCUGAGAGGGUGAACGGCCACAUUGGGACUGAGACACGGCCCAAACUCCUACGGAAGGCAGCAG
rnacentral:rRNA from 1 species